GUGCUGAUGAGCCGUCACUGGGAGCUCCAUGACUUAGAUGACUUGCAAACCGCCUUACAACCGGGUGGAAAUGUCUCUGAAGAUACAGCAACAGACAUGUUGAUGUCAGACAUUUGUGUCUAUACAUACCUGCAAACUACGCUAGUCCAGACUCAGCCACCGAAAGCCUUGGUAGUCUCCAGCAUCAUUGGGAAAGCCUGUUCUGAUGACAUCGAGCACAUAAGAUGGCAGAGGCUUGCGUGUGUCACUCAGUGAUGCUGUGUGCCCACCAGAUCAUCUGCCUACAGGGAAAUAUGCCAUACUGCCUGAAAUCUGAAGAUAUGUCAAUUUACUCAAUGUUUUAAAGAUUUAGUAUUUUAAGGUUUAAUAGUCAGGAACAUUUUGAUGAAUGUAGUUUAUUUUUUCAUGUACAACAUUAAACAUUUUGUAAAACUGAUUGUGGUCCUACUAAUUUACAUGUAACAAAAUCAUCUACUUAUAAGACACUGUAAUAAAUAUGUUCUUACUAAUUUAA